CCUCUCUUCAGCAGGAUUCUCCUAGCUUGGACUAAUGUUGGACUGUGGGGCUUCAUUUUCCAUUUGUUACUAGAUGAAGGCACUCUGAUGAUAAUUGGGCUAGUCACCAGUUUGAUCACAGGAGAUGGCCAGUUCAGGCUAGGAGUCUUAGUUGGGGUCAUCCUUGUAAAUUUGUGGAAGUUUCCCUUUAUUAGGUUUCUUCCUGAUCCCAAAUGCCCUUCCCUUUUUUAGUCAUCCCUCCCUCAUCCACUUCCCACCCCAGUCCCUCAGGUUUCCAUCCCCACCUACUUCAAAUCCACUUGGGAAAUUUCUUCUAUUUCUCCUUCCCAGGAAGAUUCAUGUGUGCAGUGAUGUUUUGUUUAUGUUUUGACAAAUAAAGCUUGCCUGAAGAUCAUAGUGCAGAGCUAAGCCACUAGAGGCCAGAGAGUGGUGGCACACACACCUUUAAUCCCAGGACUUGGGAGACAGAGACAGACAGAUCUCUGUUAGUUCAAGGCCACCAUGGUUACAUAAGAUUGAAUCUGUCUAAAAGAGAAACAGCUCACAAAAAGGUAACCCCAGAACUUAGGAUCACAAGCCUUUAAUCCCAGCACUAGGGAGAUGGAGAUAGAAGUGACAUGGCUGGGGGGAGAGAGGAAUAUAAGGCAGAAGGAGACAGUAGGCAGGGCAGUCUGAGGUUUGGUGGAGAUAACUGCAGUCUGACAAGGCAAUAUGAGGACAGGAUUGCCCCUUCAGUUUGAGCAUUGUAGAAGUAAAAGAAAUCAUUGUGGUUGGCCACUCUGCUUCUUUGAUUUUCAACAUUAACCCCUAUAUAUGCCUCUAGGUUUUUAUUAACAAUACCAAUUAGAAUUUGUCCCAUUCAUGAAUUCUUCCCUUGGUCCCUCCUUGUUACCUAACCUCUCUGGGGCUGCAGAUUGUAGCAUGAUUGUCUUUUACUUUAUAGGUAAUAUCCACUUAUGAGUGAGUACAUACCAUGUUUGCCUUUCUGGGUUUGGGUUACCUCACUCAGGAUUGUUUAUUUCUAGUUCCAUCCAUUUGUCUUCAAAUUUCCUGAUGUCAUUGUUUUUAACAGCUGACUAAUAUGCCAUUGCUUACAUGUACCACAUUUUCUUUAUCCACUUCUUGGUGGAGGGACAUCUAAGUUAUUUCUAGGUUUUGGCUAUAAUAAAUAAUGCUGUUAUGGACAUAGUUGAAUAAAUGUCCUUUUGGUAUGAUUGAGCAUCUUUUGGGUGUUGCUGGGUCUUGAGGAACUGUCACACUGAUUUCCAGAGUGGCUGUCUAAGUUUGCACUCCCACUCCCCAUCCUCUCCUGCAUACGCUGUCGUCAGUGCUUUCUGUCUUAGCCAUUCUCAUAGGCAUAAGAUAAAAUCUUAGAGAUUUGAAUUUCUUUCAUGACUAAGGAUACUAAAUAUCUUCUUAAGUGUUUCUCUGCCAUUUGAGAUUUUUCUGUUGAGAACUCUCUGUUUAUCUGUAUCCCAUUUUUUAAUUGGAUUCUUUGUUUUUGUGAUGUGUAAUUUCUUGAGUUCUUUAUAUAUAUAAGAGAUCAGCCCUCUGUCUGAUGUGUGGUUGGUGAAGGUUUUUUCCUUUCCUGUAGGCUUCUGAUUUGUCCUAUUGACGCCACUGAAAUUUUUCUACCACUUUCUACCUCAUGUUUUGAGACAGUAUCUCUCACUGAUUCCAGAGAUCACAGAUGGGCUAGCCUGAGACAUUGUCCCUCUCACUGGUUCCAGAGCUCACAGAUGGGCUAGCAUGAGACAUUUUCUCUCUCACUGGUUCCAGUGCUCACAGAUGGGCUAGCCUGAGACAGUAUUUCUCAAUGAUUCUAGAGCUCACAGAUGGGCUAGCCUGAGAUAUUGUCUCUCUCACUGGUUCCAGAGCUCACAGAUGGGCUAGCCUGAGAUAUUGUCUCUCUCACUGGUUCCAGAGCUCACAGAUGGGCUAGCCCAAGACAGUGUUUCUCAAUGAUUCCAGAGCUCACAGAUGGGCUAGCCUGAGAUAUUGUCUCUCUCACUGGUUCCAGAGCUCACAGAUGGGCUAGCCUGACUUGGUCUAUACAGAACACUCUCUCCCACUCUCUUUUGUGAUCUCUCGAUUAGAGACCUUUGGCCAUUUGUUUUCUAGAUGCACCCACCACAAACUCAGUGGGAGGGUAAAGCCCAGCCCCCUCCCCCAUGUGCACACACUGUCCCACACCACAGAGAGACUGCAGCCCCAGCCCUUCAGCUGUUCUUAUUAAAGAGCAAUUCUUCUCCUGCAGAUGCUUGUCUGCUUUUCUUUAUUUCCACGCCACCUCCAUCCUGAUCUAAUUGGAACAGCCAAUUAGGCAUUAUUAAUGUUUAAAGCAAUAGCUGACUAUCCAAAAAGUAGAACUUAGUCCAAUGAGAAAAACAUAAGAAAUUAAAAUUUAGUCAUAGGUUUUUAAUGUCAGUGAAAUGAUAUUAAGAACAAUUUAAUACUUAAGAAAAAAUUGCUGUAUAAAAUGAAUCAUUAAUUUUCUCUUAGCAUAUUAAAUUAACCUUAAAAAUUUUAUAGUCUUUAUUUUUUCAUGUAGUUAUAAUCGUAUUCAUUUAAAAAUAAUUUAAAAACCUGUUUACAUCUUAAAUAUUAUUAUUACAAAAUUUGGAAAACCAUUUUAAUGAGGUCAAUUUAAACGGAAGGUUAGGAGGCUGUAUCUAAAAUAAGGAAGUGUCCUAUCUUAGAUAUCUGAUAAUCAUAUCACAGGUAAAGCACAUUAAUAGUUCAGGUUUCAGGAGACACUUUCCAUGGUUAUUGUCAGCGGUCCCUUUUCGUCAGUGGCAGAAUAAAGCAUCUGGAGUGGGAGAGUUCGGAAUGUGUGACUUCACUAUAAUUCUUAACUAAAACACAGAGGUGAAUAAUUUGUAAAACUCUAUCAUUAUUUUGUAACACAUGAAAAUGGUUCAUAAACCCUAAGAUUUCUAUAUAAGCCUCAAAAUAGGUUUUUAGAAUGACUGCUUAAAAAAAUACUAGGGUUUCUCUUGCCUAGGCCUGCCUAAAAUAAGAAUCGUGAAUAUCUUGAUUGUUUCUUUUUAAAGACACUGUAGAUGUAAAAAAAAAAAAAAAAANUAAAA